rnacentral:rRNA from 1 species
GAGCGCGGCGAUAGCACAUUAAAUACAUUCCCAUUGGAUCACUGAAGUUAAGCAACGUAGUGCAUGGUUGAUAUCUGGGUGGAUGGGUGACCAUCUGGGAAAUCGCGUGCUGUUGGCU